rnacentral:ncRNA from 2 species
UUGCCGCGUCGCGACUGGCGUUCGGAUGGGUGACCAUCAGGGAGCGACACCUCCUCCGGUGCAUUCUCGCCGGACACUUUUCCUGCCGCACGCCUGGGCCGGAACG